UACGGGGGGGGGCAAGCGUUGUUCGGAAUUACUGGGCGUAAAGGGCUCGUAGGCGGCCAACUAAGUCGGAUGUGAAAUCCCCCAGGCUUAACCUGGGAACUGCAUCCGAUACUGGAUGGCUUGAAUCCGGGAGAGGGAUGCGGAAUUCCAGGUGUAGCGGUGAAAUGCGUAGAUAUCUGGAGGAACACCGGUGGCGAAGGCGGCAUCCUGGACCGGCAUUGACGCUGAGGAGCGAAAGCCAGGGGAGCAAACGGG
rnacentral:rRNA from 1 species